rnacentral:rRNA from 1 species
UACAGAGGUCUCAAGCGUUGUUCGGAUUCAUUGGGCGUAAAGGGUGUGUAGGUGGCGCGCUAAGUCGGGUGUGAAAUUUCGGAGCUUAACUCCGAAACUGCAUUCGAUACUGGCGUGCUUGAGGACUGGAGAGGAGACUGGAAUUCAUGGUGUAGCAGUGAAAUGCGUAGAGAUCAUGAGGAAGACCAGUGGCGAAAGGCGGGGUCUCUGGACAGUUCCUGACACUGAGACGAAGGCCAGGGGGAGCAAACGGG